UACGAAGGGGGCUAGCGUUGUUCGGAAUUACUGGGCGUAAAGCGCACGUAGGCGGCUUUGUAAGUUAGAGGUGAAAGCCCAGGGCUUAACCCUGGAAUUGCCUUUAAGACUGCAUCGCUAGAAUUGUGGAGAGGUAAGUGGAAUUCCGAGUGUAGAGGUGAAAUUCGUAGAUAUUGGGAAGAACACCGGUGGCGAAGGCGGCUAUCUGGACCGACAUUGACGCUGAGGCGCGAAAGCGUGGGGAGCAAACAGG
rnacentral:rRNA from 1 species